rnacentral:misc_RNA from 1 species
GAUGAAGAACGCAGCGAAAUGCGAUAAGUAAUGUGAAUUGCAGAAUUCAGUGAAUCAUCGAAUCUUUGAACGCACCUUGCGCUCCUUGGUAUUCCGAGGAGCAUGCCUGUUUGAGUGUCAUUACAUUCUCAAUCUCUACAACUUUGUGUUGUCUAGAUUGGAAGUGGGGGGCUCUUUGUGUGGAAUUGAAUUCCUCACUCCCCUUAAAUGUAUUAGCUGGAAUGCCUCUGCAUAUCUGACUCUCAGUGUGAUAAUUAUCUAUACUGUAGUUGUUGUAUGGAGGGUAUCUGCUUCAUCAGUCGUCGAAAGACAAUUCUAUAUGACCAUCUUGACCUCAAAUCAGGUAGGACUACCCGCUGAACUUAAGCAUAUCAAUAAGCGGAGGA